rnacentral:lncRNA from 1 species
ACAAACCUACAACCCUAACAUGUCAAACACCCAACCACAAUACCAAGAGCAUACCUCGUACCACCACCAACAAGUAGAUCAUCAUCAAGACACCCAACAUCGCUAUGCACCAAACACAUCACCCUAUCAUAGCCGCCUUAGCCAAAACACUCAACGAUCAUUUAACACCAACCGUCCCUCCUCCUACUAUAACCAAGAAGCCUAAACAUCACAAAAUCAAAACCUUCAACAACCAUAUGUCUAUCAAACACCACAACAAUCAUUUCAAC